rnacentral:rRNA from 1 species
UGGGGAAUUUUGGACAAUGGGCGAAAGCCUGAUCCAGCAAUGCCGCGUGUGUGAAGAAGGCCUUCGGGUUGUAAAGCACUUUUGUCCGGAAAGAAAUCCUUGGCCCUAAUACAGUCGGGGGAUGACGGUACCGGAAGAAUAAGCACCGGCUAACUACGUGCCAGCAGCCGCGGUAAUACGUAGGGUGCAAGCGUUAAUCGGAAUUUACUGGGCGUAAAGCGUGCGCAGGCGGUUUGCUAAGACCGAUGUGAAAUCCCCGGGCUCAACCUGGGAACUGCAUUGGUGACUGGCAGGCUAGAGUAUGGCAGAGGGGGGUAGAAUUCCACGUGUAGCAGUGAAAUGCGUAGAGAUGUGGAGGAAUACCGAUGGCGAAGGCAGCCCCCUGGGCCAAUACUGACGCUCAUGCACGAAAGCGUGGGGAGCAAACAGGAUUAGAUACCCUGGUAGUCCACGCCCUAAACGAUGUCAACUAGUUGUUGGGGAUUCAUUUCCUUAGUAACGUAGCUAACGCGUGAAGUUGACCGCCU